GGAGAGAUGUCCGAGUGGUUGAAGGAGCACGCCUGGAAAGCGUGUAUACGGUCACAAGCCGUAUCGCGGGUUCGAAUCCCGCUCUCUCCGCCA
rnacentral:tRNA from 1 species